GCAUAGCUCAGUUGGUUAGAGCGUGGUGCUGAUAAUGCCAAGGUUGCAGGUUUGAUCCCCAUACAAGACUGCUGCA